GCCCCCGUAGCCCAAUUGGCAGAGGCAGCUGACUUAAAAUCAGCGUGUUGCGGGUUCGAAUCCCGCCGGGGGUA
rnacentral:tRNA from 1 species